rnacentral:rRNA from 1 species
CGCAUCUGUGCAUGCAGCAUAUCAAUAAGCGGAGGAAAAGAAACUAACAAGGAUUCCCCUAGUAACGGCGAGUGAAGCGGGAAGAGCUCAAAUUUGAAAUCUUAAAGGGUUUCCCUUUACGAAUUGUAGUUUAAAGAAGUGUUUUCUGUUGAGGUUUUGGUAAAAGUUCUUUGGAAUAGGACAUCAUAGAGGGUGAGAAUCCCGUAUUUGACCUUUACUUUCAACUUUGUGAUACACUUUCAAAGAGUCGGAUUGUUUGGGAAUGCAGUCCAAAAUGGGUGGUAAAUUUCAUCUAAAGCUAAAUAUUGGCGAGAGACCGAUAGCGAACAAGUACCGUGAGGGAAAGAUGAAAAGAACUUUGAAAAGAGAGUUAAACAGUACGUGAAAUUGUCAAAAGGGAAGCGUUUGACACCAGUGUUGUUUUUCUGAAAAUCAAUUAAAGAACUGUUUAUGCUAAGUUGUUUAGACUUUAUCAGCUAACUGUUUAGUUUUGAGCUUUUCUUUAAUGCACCUUUCAGUUAACAAGUCAACAUCAAUUUCUUUUGCUGAUAAAAAAGCUUGAGGAAGGUGGCUUGAGAUUCGUCUUAAGUGUUUAUAGCCUCUUGCCUAUGCAGUCGGAGAGAUUGAGGUCUGCAGCGUAGAUCCUUCGGGGCUAAAUGCAUUUGUGCUAAGCUAUAGCAUUUCAUAGACAACUUGUUGACUAUGAUUUGUCUUGUAGCUUACUCGCUUAUGUUAUUUUACCUACGCUUAGGAUGUUGAACGCGCACAGAGUCUC